rnacentral:rRNA from 1 species
GUGUCAGCAGCCGCGGUAAUACGUAGGUGGCAAGCGUUGUCCGGAUUUAUUGGGCGUAAAGCACGCGCAGGCGGUUUCUUAAGUCUGAUGUGAAAUCCCCCGGCUUAACCGUGGAGGGUCAUUGGAAACUGGGUGACUUGAGUGCAGAAGAGGAAAGUGGAAUUCCAAGUGUAGCGGUGAAAUGCGUAGAGAUUUGGACGAAUACCAGUGGCGAAGGCGGCUUUCUGGUCUGCAACUGACGCUGAGGCACGAAAGCAUGGGGAGCAAACAGGAUUAGAUACCCUGGUAGUCCAUGCCGUAAACGAUGAGUGCUAAGUGUAAGGGGUUU